UGGAGAGUUUGAUCCUGGCUCAGAUUGAACGCUGGCGGCAGGCCUAACACAUGCAAGUCGAACGGUAACAGGGAGCAGCUUGCUGCUCUGCUGACGAGUGGCGGACGGGUGAGUAAUGUCUGGGAAACUGCCUGAUGGAGGGGGAUAACUACUGGAAACGGUAGCUAAUACCGCAUAACGUCUACGGACCAAAGUGGGGGACCUUCGGGCCUCAUGCCAUCAGAUGUGCCCAGAUGGGAUUAGCUAGUAGGUGGGGUAACGGCUCACCUAGGCGACGAUCCCUAGCUGGUCUGAGAGGAUGACCAGCCACACUGGAACUGAGACACGGUCCAGACUCCUACGGGAGGCAGCAGUGGGGAAUAUUGCACAAUGGGCGCAAGCCUGAUGCAGCCAUGCCGCGUGUAUGAAGAAGGCCUUCGGGUUGUAAAGUACUUUCAGCGGGGAGGAAGGCGUUGUGGUUAAUAACCGCAGCAAUUGACGUUACCCGCAGAAGAAGCACCGGCUAACUCCGUGCCAGCAGCCGCGGUA
rnacentral:rRNA from 1 species